AGUGAACGCUGGCGGUAGGCCUAACACAUGCAAGUCGAACGGCAGCACAGUAAGAGCUUGCUCUUACGGGUGGCGAGUGGCGGACGGGUGAGGAAUACAUCGGAAUCUACUUUUUCGUGGGGGAUAACGUAGGGAAACUUACGUUAAUACCGCAUACGACCUACGGGUGAAAGCAGGGGAUCUUCGGACCUUGCGCGAUUGAAUGAGCCGAUGUCGGAUUAGCUAGUUGGCGGGGUAAAGGCCCACCAAGGCGACGAUCCGUAGCUGGUCUGAGAGGAUGAUCGGCCACACUGGAACUGAGACACGGUCCAGACUCCUACGGGAGGCAGCAGUGGGGAAUAUUGGACAAUGAGCGCAAGCCUGAUCCAGCCAUACCGCGUGGGUGAAGAAGGCCUUCGGGUUGUAAAGCCCUUUUGUUGGGAAAGAAAAGCAGCAGGUUAAUACCCCGCUGUUCUGACGGUACCCAAAGAAUAAGCACCGGCUAACUUCGUG
rnacentral:rRNA from 1 species